AAGACCUAAACACCAAAUAAAAUAAAUGUAUAGAGUAUGUACAAUUAAAAACAAAAAGCCCAAUAAAGUAAUUUAUUAUACAAACCAAUGAAAAUACUUCACAAAACUGAAAAUCUGUUGCUGGUAACUUGCUUAAGCCAAAAAUCCAUUAAGAUCAAUUUAUACAUACCAAUUUAUUUAAUUCUGAACUCGAUACAAUUAUGUUAAACUCUAACUAAUUUCUUUUUUUUU